rnacentral:piRNA from 1 species
UUAAACAUACCUGUGUUUUGAGAAGUGUC